AAGAUGCUCAGCAAAAGAAGGGAAGCUUGAGAUUUGAGAGAAAAGGGAAGGUUUGUAGUAUCAAACUUCCAUCCUCACCCCCCUACUGAAACUUGCCUGUAAAGCUACUUUUUAAAAAGCCUUGAAAAGAAGAGGAGGGAAAAGCCCUGAAAGAAGCUUUCAUGUCUGCCAAAAUGGACUGUUCAUCUCAGCCUCCUGGACCAUUCAUAUCAAUCAGGAAGUUUGAUGGUCCACUCUUUCAGCAGGUGAAUUUGUCUAUGAAGAUAAGGAAUCAUUACCUGAACUCCACCUAAUUUCUGCUAGAGGGCAGGUUCUACAAACGAACCUAUGGAUGUGUUCUACCCACCUGCACUGAAGCUGCAGUUUAGAUUUACUGGGGAAGGUGAGAAUGGAUGAAAAUGAAGAAGAUUACAUAUGCUGGAUGCAGUUGACUGAGAGUAGGAAAAUAGACAAAGGAACUGUUAACAGAAUCAUUGAUAUCCAACCCUGGAAAUGAUGGCAGUGGUGGUCCAGUGGGAAGAAACAACACUAACAGAUUUUGUAUUUGGAAAUAGG
ensembl:lncRNA novel transcript, intronic to SEMA6D